CAUUCGGUGCACUCCGCUUUUUGGUCCGGCGGAGAAACUGCCUCCGGUUCACGGAGUUCCGCCUCUUUUCGGCCCUAGCCUAUGGGCCGGAACGCAGAGGCGUCGGGGGUGGAACCCUGACGGGGGGACGCCCCGCCCGGCUAGCUUCCGGGCGCUUCGUGACUUCCUGGGGCGUGAGCGUCACAACCAAGGUUACUUUCAAGCACGUAAAGCUUACUCCCAUGGAUUCCAUUCCCACCACAGGAGCCCCAAACACUGGACAGUACCAUUCUAUCAUCCCUCCUUGCUUCUCAUUUUGUCCAGCAGUAAUAUAAGCAUGAAAUCACUGUGCCCAGCAUAAAAGCUCAGAAUCCACCCCCAGUGAGCCAGCUGGCAGCCCUUCAGUGAAGCCCAGUUGAAUUUUAAAGUUAUCCAGUAAGAAGUUAUCCAGUAAGAAGUUCCUCCAGCCUCUGCUCACCUCAUCCAUGGAUCCCGGUCCUCGGCAGGCAAGCCAGGUGAAGAUCAAACCAAAGAACACACCCAGCGCCAUGACAAUGUAGGGGAUGUUGCUGAUGAUGGACGUAGUGUUAAUCACAGACUUUAGUCGACUUGCAAUCUCUUUAUCAAUGAGAACACUCUAGGGAACAAGAAAAUAGUAUUGCCUUGAUUACCAAACAUCCAAGCUAACGAACAGUAAACUGAGGACAUUUUACAAACGGGCAGGGUUUCAAAGGAGGAGACACAAAGAAGGGUUUAACUGAACAUCUAUCUGCGUGUUGGCUUUAUUGUUUCAACAGUGUCUGGCGUUGCUUCGCGGACCUCCGCAUUUUGUUUCUUGCACAGCCAGCUUCCCAGGAGGAAGUUUUACCCAAGUAAUGUGCGCGAGAAGGGACAUUCCUUUCUGUUAAUUUUCAGAUCUCAGACAUUAAGUGCAUUCGUGUAAACACCUGAAGAAAUUUUCAGCGGACAAACAGGUUUUUAAAGAUCACCUUUCCCCUCCAUCCCUCCCAUCGAACAGGACACACAGCUACAACAGUGGACACCGACGUGGGAGCGUUGCAGGCUUCCACGGGUGAAGCCGCCCGUGCUCCCCCCGGGACUCACCUCGUUGACGUGCAUCACUGGGAAGACCAUGGUUCUGAUGUCUCCCGUCUCACUGCGGGGACAGAAGGAGAUCUCUUACAGACACCCUGAUCGUGCGGGCACCCUGGCCUGGAGAGACACACUUAGAGGACAGUGCCAGCACACUUAUUUCUUUAAAUUACUCCGAACUUAAA